AGGCGUAGGAAACUCUGACUAGCAGGCGUAGGAAACUCUGGCUAGCAGGCGUGGGAAGCUCCCACCUUUGCACACAGCAAUUUUCAUUUAUUUGUAACAAAUGUUUUACAUCAUGUAGGAUAUUCCUUCUACUUCACAAUUGUAUAUGUUAUGUUGGACUUUCACAUAAGAUUCAAAUAAAAUAUUAUUUUAUGUUGUUGGAUGUAAUGUGACUAAAUUUGGGAAAGUUCAGAAAAGGGCCACAGGAGGCACGGUCUGAGUUCAUCAGAGUGCAUUUAGAAGCAGAACAACACCCUGGUUGUAAUCCUGUCAUCCUCAGAUACAGAAAGGAGCUGCAGCACAAAUGAAAAGUCUCAGGGUGGGGAGGCUAGUGUCCAGUUCAGGGCUUCGCCUGUUCCUGACAGUCCUGUAUCUGCUCACAAUGAGCUGCAGCUCCAAGUGUGACAGUCGAAGUGUCAGUCCAACCAUUCUCCACCACAGAAGAAGUUAUCAAUUGCACUGUUGAACUGGAGUCAUCAACUCUAAAGAGAACCAGGGAAGCACCAAAUCCUGAACCUGGACACAAGGAGGAUUCCUCCAUGCUAUCUUCUCCAGCUUCUAGACAACCUGACACUGAUAAAAGGAGGAAAAUAGCGUUUUGGCUUUUCCUGUUGCAACUGAUUUAUGAUAAGGUUACCCAACCUGGGGAUGACAUGCUACAUCAACUCCAUCCUCCAAAGCGUCCUUACUGACCCUGAGCUGCUCUCACCCAAGAUCCCAGCUCUUCAGGUACAGCACUCCAGACAAUAAAACAUCAUCAGUGUAAAGAACACUCAGAACUGUAUGGUUUCUAGAUAUUGAAGUCAGUCGCUACUCCAACAUCAGAGAGGAGAAUAAGUCGCUUCUAUCCUCUUUUUAAAUGGACCGUCGCUGAAUAUAAUUCAGAUUUUGACGAUGACGAGCAGAAGGAUGCCCAUGAGUUCCUCAUCUGUGUUCUGGACAUAAUGAGGUCUGUGUCAUCAGAGGUUGAGCUGACAGCUGUAAACUCUGGCUUGACCUACACGUGCCCAGUCCAGGAACACAUUUCAGUUCAGAUGCUGAACAUCAGGACCUGCAGGGGAUGUGGUGAGCAGUCCUAUAGAAUGGAGGACUUUGUUAACCUCACUCUGGAGCUGGUACCAGGGGGAACGGUGGGCCAGUGUCUGCAGGAGUAUUUCAAGGGGGACCAGAUAGAUUACACGUGCCACUGUGGAGCGCAGUAGUCAUCCCUGCAGAGCUCAUUCUCCAUCCUGCCAAAAAUGUCAUCACAUCUGUGAGAGUAUCCAAAGAGGGCUGAAUAUGGGGGAUUCAGCAAACUCUUGGCUAACGGAUGAUGAUGAACAUGUCAGCCAAACAACAGGAGAAGUUGUCUGCUGCCGUAGACUAAGAAACGCUUUCCUAGUCUUCUAUGAAAACCAGGGUGCUCCUCUCGACUUACGCGGCAGAGAAGGUCGAACAACGGCUUCCUUGGACCCACGCGUCACACUGCAGGAAGGUGCCGCCACCGCCAGAGGCCGACAAAUCGCAGGACAAGAAAGAUCACACGCCAGGAUCGCCGCCAUCCACCUGAGCCACCGAGCUGGCUGUGAGGACAGCGGCCCACCACAAGUUGUUUUUUUGCAGGAAGAGGUGGGUGAAGAGCACUGCUCCGACGGAAUCACAAUAACAUUCCGGGCAGUGAUUUGAGUUGCUUGUCUCCAGAGAGAGAGACAACAGAGUUUGAGACCUCCGCAGUAUCUGGUAGCUUCUUUACGGGUCAAACGGAUACAGAGACUGGUGUUUUCCCCGGGAAACAUGCCCAAAGAUGUUGAAAUUGAUCUGAUCUGAUCUGAGUGACGAUGAUGAUUGUGAGGUUAAUGAUACAACCUGUUGACAUGGAUUUCCUUUUUCCUUCUUCGUGACUGUUCCUUGUAAUGCUUUUGAAAAUGUUCCUGUAGGUUUGAUUUUAUUGAUUUGUUUGAUGAUAUUCAUUUGUUUGAUUUGCCAUUUUACAGUAGUAUUGUCAGAUUGUUUUUUUUUUCCCGUUACAUUUUCUUUUUUAUUAUCAAUUUAGAUUUAUGCAUGAAUUAAAAUGUUUAGUUGUAUUAGUUUAGUUUUGCUUAAGCAAUGUUUUGAUAUUUGAAGUUUCAAAUGUUUUUCCUGACAUGAUUCUUUUUUGUUCUCACUGCUUGAUGAAAGAAAUGGAGUUUUCUCAUACCAAAGAUCACUGAUUUAUGCAAUUUUUGUUUAUUACAGAAGGACAGACCUGGGAUCUGAUUGGCUCUAAAGAUCCUUUAAUACUAGCUGGUAAUGGUAACUCCUAGAUUCAACACGGGGUUUUCUGGCUCAGAUUGGCCGAGAGCAGAUCUCCCUGGGGGUCUCACCGGUUUUUACUACUCUUGUGGGUAGCGUUUUCUGGUUGUUUCCCCGCCCACACUGAACCUCUCCUGCUUUUGCUCCUGGUUUGGUAAGUUUGAGGAUGGUGGAUGGUUAUCCAUCGAAGUGGUGAGUGGAGGAUCAAGUAGGAGGGUUUUCAGGGUGGGGAGAGGGUAGACGGAUUCGACCUUAAUUAGUAUACAGGCUUAGCUUAAGUAGUCUAAUAUACAAAAAUAAUCUGUGCAUAGGGACCUAAAACAGGCCUUACUUAAUUAGUUGAACCCUAAAUUGUAGGUGAAUGCUAAACCUUUGAUCUUGUGUGUUAAAACUCCAUGAAGCAUUCAAGCUGAUCUUUAUUGAAAGUUCCAGCACACAUGAUUUGUAACUGUUAUGAGUCCUUGGUGUUGUAUUUGCAUAUUCCUGUAAUGAGUUAUCUUGUUUUUCAAUAAAUACUGUUUGUCAAUAAAAGUGCUGGAACUUCA